CCUUGUUUCUUCUCCUUUCAGCUGUACAAGUAGAAUUCAUACCUGUGUGGAGUGAGAAAGGAAAGAGAAAGAAGAGUCAUUGUACACUAUGGAUCUUAUACAAUCUACUACAAGUGCUACAGCUUCAGAGAGGAGAAGAUGAGCUACAGAGACAGCAGAAGAAAACACUUUCUCUGCAACAGGAAAAGGAUGAUCAUCUUUUUGAGCUCCAUCCUCGAGAAAUUAGACUUAGCAGCUCCAGACUAAGCUGUGUAAAGUGAAAUGUGAGAUAAAAAAUGAGGAGCGGAAGUUGAAGAGCUACAGAAUGAACAGGAUAUAUCCAGCUAGUUAUAUGGGCAGGCCAGAUGUUCAGUUGGAUGAUACCAAAAAGGAACUGGAGGAGGUGCAUGCUGAUCUUGUCAUGGUCAUGCAGGAGCUUGAUUUGGCAAGAGCUGAAUUAAGGCAAUGUGUAUGAGCACCAUCUGAAUGAAUGCUACAAGACCAGCUGGUAUUUGAACCCUUUGUCAGGGUGACUAGUGAAUGUUUCCUACAAUUUUAUUAUUUUUAUUUUUCUUUUUUUUCCCAUAAAAUAAGGAAAUUUAAUUCUUAAUGUCUAGUUUUCCACCUGCUGGUAUAGGCUGACUUAUUUCAGGGCCACUAUUGUAUAUUUGACUAACAUAAGGUCAGGAUACAGUUUUUCGUAUGUAAACUUGCAAACGCCCUUUAUUCAUGCUCAUUUUCUUUAAAUAUGUAGCUCCAAAUGAAAGUUUCAAAUUUAAAAUCCACAGAAUACUUUAAUAAUGUGAAUCUUGGUAUUAUGAAAAAAUACAGGAAUUUUUUCUGAUAAAUCUACUUCACUCAUUAAUGCUGUAAUAUCAUUGGUAUAAGAAGCCCACUUAAAACAGAGAAAUGCUGACUUUCCUGCCUCUCCCCAAAAUUGUUACAUGUUCCAACUUAAUUUCAAAGACUCUAGAAACAUUCAGGUACUUUUCCUAGCUGCAGGAAGCAGCUAGUAGGAGCAGUAAGAGGGCAAAACAAAAUCUGAUUGUUAUAAGAUUUAUAGCUCAUUAAAGUAGUAAUAUAGUUAGACACAAAUCAUACUAAUUCUAGAGUACUGAAAGAUUAGAAAAGUAAUUAUUGAAUAAGAAAUAAUAUUUUUAAUUUUUUCUCCUUCAUUGUAAAUACUAGAUAACAAAUAUAUUAAAAUCUUUCAGUUGUGUUGAAAGUUUCCUUUUGAUGUGUUCUAAUUUCACUAAAAUGUAUACCAUUGACUUAUUUUAUUAGGUAUCCAUGUCAAUUUUAUUGUCAGUUUUAUUAAGUAAACAACUCAGCUAGUGAUUGGAGAAUUGAACCUUGGUAAACAGGGGAAAGCAAUGCAAAAAAUAUCAGUAUUAACUUAUUCAUAAACUCAGUUAGGCCUGACUUUUAGCUGGUUGAAUUUUCAUUCAGGGGUUAAAGUAUAAAAUUCUGAUCUAUUUCUAGAAAAGCAAUAGAAAUACAACUUAAUAAAAUAAGUAAUGGAUCUGCCAUAUGGCUGAUGCUAACAGAUUUAAUACACCCAGAUAUAGUCUGAGAAGUGAUAAUUUCAUAUUUGCAGGUUAAAAAAAAAAGAUUCAGUAGGUCCAAAAAGUUUGCAUAUUUGUAAUCUUAUGCAGAUAUAGUCACUUGUCUCCCAGUUCACAAAUUUGUGCAAAUCCUAACCAUUAUAAUGAAAAUUUACUAAUAACUUAAUUGUAUCACACACAUGAAUAUAAGCCAAUGUUACAUGAUUUAUUGUUUGCCUGUUUGCUUUGGAUUUUACCGCUGUAAUAUUCAAUAGUCCAAAAAUAUACACUGUGGGAUGCUGAUUGUAAAAUAUGAAGAGAAUGUUUUGGCUCAGGUUUCAUCACAGCCAUGUUGUAUAUUUUAUCAGCUAGAAAAAUUGUGUUAUGCUAAGGAACUUUACAAAAAGUUUCUUUCCCUUCAUUUAUUUUGUUAGCUUUUAUAUAAUAUUUUUUAUAAAUUAAUAUUGUAUAUUGUUUCAUCUCUUUUAUUCAUAUUUUAAGAGCUUCUAUUUAAGAUUACAAACAGCAAUAAAAUCAUUGCUUACUGAAGCAAGCAGACUUUGAAUCCGGCUAUGAACAUUAGAAGGAUGUUACACACUGCACACUUUUAAUAAUGAUCAUUUAGAAGAUAAUUUUAGCAUCCACACAAGGGAAAAAUGGAUUUUUGAUGAGUUCUUAUAUGACCAUAUGUGGUAUUAGUCAGUGUGAGGUAUUGCUAGCGAGCUCAUUGCUUUCAAAAAUCAAAGUUAAAUGGUUCAUCUAUCAUCAGAAUUUGUGUCUGGGCGACUUGUCUGAACAUCAGUAUGAUUUAUGGUUUGAAUUGGAGGAGUCAACCAUGCAUGUUUCUUAGUUUAUCGUUUUAUGCUGUCUUCAAUUAAAUGUCUAUAAACACAGUGAUGGCUUUAUGACAUUGUCCAUCAAUAAAGACUAUCAGAUUUUGCAUGAGAAUAUGUAAUUUUCAGAAAAAAUAAUGACCUUUUGACUUCUAUGUGCCCUGUUGUACACAUGAUAUAUACGGCAUGUUUAGACUUCA